UCCGAGUUGACCCCGGCAGUCUCCUAUGAGUCCCCGGCUUGAACCGCUGGCAACAUAGGACAAGGGUUGCGCUCGUUGCGGGACUUAACCCAACAUCUCACGACACGAGCUGACGACAGCCAUGCACCACCUGUAUACCGACAAAAGGGGCCCCAUCUCUGCAGGUUUCCGGUGCAUGUCAAACCCAGGUAAGGUUCUUCGCGUUGCGUCGAAUUAAACCACAUGCUCCGCUGCUUGUGCGGGUCCCCGUCAAUUCCUUUGAGUUUUAGCCUUGCGGCCGUACUCCCCAGGCGGGGCACUUAAUGCGUUAGCUCCGGCACGGGAGGAGUCGACACCUCCCACACCUAGUGCCCAUCGUUUACGGCGUGGACUAC
rnacentral:misc_RNA from 1 species